rnacentral:tRNA from 1 species
GGGGUUGUGGCUCAGAGGUAGAGUACUCUCCUAGCACGUGUGAGGCACUGGGUUUGAUCCUCAGUACCACA